rnacentral:rRNA from 1 species
UGGGGAAUAUUGGACAAUGGGCGAAAGCCUGAUCCAGCCAUGCCGCGUGUGUGAAGAAGGCCUUUUGGUUGUAAAGCACUUUAAGUGGGGAGGAAAAGCUUAUGGUUAAUACCCAUAAGCCCUGACGUUACCCACAGAAUAAGCACCGGCUAACUCUGUGCCAGCAGCCGCGGUAAUACAGAGGGUGCAAGCGUUAAUCGGAAUUACUGGGCGUAAAGCGCGCGUAGGUGGUUAUUUAAGUCAGAUGUGAAAGCCCCGGGCUUAACCUGGGAACUGCAUCUGAUACUGGAUAACUAGAGUAGGUGAGAGGGGAGUAGAAUUCCAGGUGUAGCGGUGAAAUGCGUAGAGAUCUGAAGGAAUACCGAUGGCGAAGGCAGCUCCCUGGCAUCAUACUGACACUGAGGUGCGAAAGCGUGGGUAGCAAACAGGAUUAGAUACCCUGGUAGUCCACGCCGUAACGAUGUCUACCAGUCGUUGGGUCUUUUAAAGACUUAGUGACGCAGUUAACGCAAUAAGUAGACCGCCUGGGGAGUACGGCCGCAAGGUU